UUGCUAUGAUGACUUCUUAGGACACCUUUGGAUGAUCCAUGAAAAAAACCUUGAAAAUCUGAGCAAC